CAAUGGGAUAGAGGUUGCGAUGAAUAAAAGUAGUUUCGCUGAGGCUGGAGCACUGAUGAAGCGAAAUGAAAGGAUUCAUCGCCGAAGUUUGCGACGCGCUCCGGCGGCGCAAGCUGGGCCUGCGGCCGAACAGGUGCAGGACUGCCAUCGUUCUAGAACGAUGGAGCGCUAUCGCAUUC
rnacentral:ncRNA from 2 species